UACGUAGGGGGCAAGCGUUGUCCGGAGUUACUGGGCGUAAAGCGCACGCAGGCGGUCUCUUAAGCUUGGAGUGACAGUUGGUGGCUUAACUGCCAAAGUGCUUCGAAAACUGAGAGACUUGAGGGCUUCAGAGGGACACGGAAUUCCGGGUGGAGUGGUGAAAUGCGUAGAGAUCCGGAGGAACACCAAAGGCGAAGGCAGUGUCCUGGGGAGUACCUGACGCUCAGGUGCGAAAGCCAGGGGAGCGAACGGG
rnacentral:rRNA from 1 species